GUAAAAGACGUGUCUAUAAGAGAAAUAUAUUUUUCGGACGAUCUUGUAUAAUCGGCGCAGAGACAUUUGCGCAGCGUACAGGAUUCGCUUAUAAUUCAGAAGCGUAGUCAAUGAAGAAGCAGUACGAAUCUGCCUUUGUUAGGGACGGUGUUGUUCAACAGUCGUUCCAUAUUCGAAAUGCGGUAAUGUGGACGUGCUACGGAAUAGUUACCUAUUUAAACGUUACAAUUUUUGUGUUUAGCAAAUGUUUGAGCAAUUGGAUGGGUCAUGCGGCAACCAGAUAGACUAUUCCACAUGUGGAAAAUCCUCCCCUGAUGCACUUCGUGAUACACAAAGAAGCUUAUUCCAGCAACACGAUUCUUCAUAAAUUCUUUUCCGUGCUGUUAUGAUCCAGUAGUAGAGUCCCAUUUCAACUUCAUUUUUGCAAAUGGAACCAUAUAUUUUUUAAUACAUUCAUCGAUUUAUCUUCGUAUUCCUUAUGGAAAUAUUAAAAGGAAAUGUUAGUUCACCAGAUAUCUUAACUUGAAGUCGUCGUAUAAAAACCAGCAUAAAUACAAUAUCGCUUCGCGUCCUAUGCUUAUCUUUCAUACGACAAAUUAAACGUAGGAUAUAAUCUAAAUCAACAGUUUUUCGACAUAAAUAGGUUAAUACUUCUUUGUAUGAUAUGAAACGGUUAUAUGAUAUCGGUUACACCGCUGUUGCUUACAAAGUACGAGUUUUGACUGAUUUGUAGAUAAAAAAAAAAAAGAAUAAUAACGAGAAAGAACCGAUCUGAAGGACGAACCUUUCAUUUACCUCCGAAUCUCUUAUCAAACAGGUCAUAUUGUAGGAUGUGAACAUACUUUCCGCGGUGAACCUUUUUGUAGACAUGAACACACAUAAGAUAUAUGGAUGCUAUUAUUUCGUUUAACGGAAUCAUCGAACAACACAAACAAUUCUUUUUCACGUUAUUUUUCGAGAUACCAAGCCGCAAGUUCUUAAUGGGAACUACGACGGUUGACUGAAAUGAAACAGAAAGGAAAUGAAAAUUCAAUUCAUUACCUAUAAAAUAUGUUAAUUAUUUAUCGACAUAAUUGCCAUUUGCAUCAAUCCAUAUUUGGCAACGCGUGACAAGUUUCUUCAUUCCGUCAGCGAAGAAUUCUGCUGGAUACUUCUAGUAAACUUUUGAUAAACAACUUUA